GGGCGGCUGAGGUGGGAGGAUCACUUGUGCCCAGGAGGUGGAGGUUGCAGUGAGCCAUGAUCACACCACUGCACUGCAGCCUGGGCAACAGAGUCAGACUCUGUCUCAAAAAAUAGAUAUAUUGAGUUAAGAUAGCUCAUAACAGUCUCUUUGUGAUCUUUGUUGCAUCUAUAUUUGAAAAAAUAGAAGAAAUGGAUAGUUUCCUUAAAAAAACAAUAAUUGAAACACCAGAAUGACGUGAUUUUAUAGGCAAGUUAUACCAAAAUUCUAAUAACAGCUAAUUCCAAACUUGCACAACUUUUUCAAACAAUGAAAAAAUGAGAAUACUUAAAAGGCUAAUUACCAAAACCAAGCAAGUAUUAUAAAGAAAGGAAAAUGACAGGCAUGAGCCACCAUGCCCGGCCUAAAAUUUUUCGUAACACACCUGCUCUACCACAUGUCAAAGCAUAUUUUAAAGCUGAAAUAUUGAGACGAUAUUCAACACAAAAACAGACCAGGAGUAGAUAACUACAUAUAUGUAAAAGUGAUAUAUGACAGGUAGUAUUGUAGAUCACUGGGGAAAUUCAUCAGUAAAUUCAAACUGGAUUCCUAUCUCUUAACCAUAUGUGCACACACACACAAAAAUCAAACCCAGGACUUAGAUGUAAAAGACAAAACCUUUAGAGAACAAAUAUGAAUGAGGUUCCAUGUUUCAAAAGUAAUUUAACUUUUUUGUGGUUUUCAACUUUGUUUUUGCUUCCUCUUCAUUCACUUGAAAAACCAACUUCCUUCAGUAAUAUUCAUUCAACGUCAUUUUUGAUGAGAUUAAUAUUUGCCAGACGCUUUCAAACACCAAGGAUACAGUAGUGAGCAAGACAAGCUCUCUUCCCUCACAGAGCUUACACUGAGGUGGUGACUAUGCAAAGGUACAUAGUAACCAAGUAAACAAGAUGUUUACAGAGUGUGAAAAGUGACAGAGAGUGAGUGAGGAGUGUGGUCAGAGUAGGCCUCUCUAAAGCAGAGACAUUAGAGUUGACACUUAAAAGAUCAGACAAUUGAACAUUUCAAGAGGGAAGGGUGUGCAUAAGAACAGAGGGAGAAAUGUCUUUAUGGGGAGAUGUGAAGUGUGUGUUGUGUGCCUUCAAAACUUCCUUGGGUCUUGUAACACCCACUGCAUUUUUCAAGUCCUUUCUUACUGCCUGCUCCCACCUCUGCUGAGAUAACUGAAAUAGCCUACUUCAUAUUAUUGUUUUUUACUGUCAUCAAAUCUGUCAAUUGUAUGUUUAAUAUUUUCUGCAAUUUUUAUAUAUAAAUUAGCAUGAAAGUUUUAACAUAAAAGCUUAGGAGCAAGCACAAACCUAUCUGUGCCAAAAGAGGGCAAAACAAAAUAAAAGUUCCUAAGAGAAGAUAAGCUACACAUAGUCAUAGUUUCGGCUUCAGCGUUUUGGAAAGUAUACAAGAAUACCCUUCUAGAAAGUCAGCAGGCAAAGUAACGAAUGAGUAUUGGGGAGCAUAGCACUUGAUAUGGUGUAGGCAUGUGGCCAGCCUGUACCGUAGACCAUGUACUGACCAUUCACUGGUCAUGUACCGUGGACCAUGUACAGCAGCAGGAAUUUGCCUUCUAAACUCAAUCUUAAUUACCCCCAGCUCUCAGGAAUGGGUCAGAGAAAACAUGUCUGUAGGAUGAAAUGAGUAUCUUCAGCUGAUCCAAGCUGUAAGGUGUGGCGGAGGACACAUGAAUUUUACCAGGACAUGAUCUAGGCAAGCCAAAUACAGAUAAACUUGGUCAGGUUCAGAUUUAAAAAAUGAAAAAGGAUAAUGGCAGCACGCAUGUUGGUGAUGAUAGCCACCAGUGUACCUGUCUCUUAAGAUUCACUCUAGUAUGAACUGAUUAUAUCUACACCUGGUGCAGCUGUCACCUUUGGAUUUCCCUACACCUCUCUUCCGUGUUGAAUGUCCUGUUUCUUUAUCACUAUGUCUUUCUUUUUCUUAGUUUCCUUAGGUUUGUUUCUUUUUCUUAGUUUCCUUAGGUUUGUUUUGAGGCAGGGUCUUGCUCUGUCGCCCAGGCUGGAGUGCAGUGGUGCAAUCACAGCUCACUGCAGCCUUGACUUCCCUGGGCUCAAGCAUUCCUCCUGCCUCAGCCUCCCAAGUAGCUGGAACAACAGACAUGCGCCACCACACUCG
rnacentral:lncRNA from 1 species